UACGUAGGGUGCGAGCGUUGUCCGGAUUUAUUGGGCGUAAAGAGCUCGUAGGCGGUUUGUCGCGUCGGCCGUGAAAUCUCCACGCUUAACGUGGAGCGUGCGGUCGAUACGGGCAGACUUGAGUUCGGUAGGGGAGACUGGAAUUCCUGGUGUAGCGGUGAAAUGCGCAGAUAUCAGGAGGAACACCGGUGGCGAAGGCGGGUCUCUGGGCCGGCACUGACGCUGAGGAGCGAAAGCGUGGGGAGCGAACAGG
rnacentral:rRNA from 1 species